UGCGGGUUGAUCCUGCCAGAGGUUACUGGUAUCGGUGUUCGCCUAAGCCAUGCGAGUCCUAGGUAACAGUACAUGGGGUACUGCUCGGGAACGCGUGGAUAACCUGCCCUUGGGACCGGCAUAACCCCGGGAAACUGGGGAUAAUUCCGGAUAACGCAUAUGUGCUGGAAUGCUUUAUGCGUAAAAUGGAUUCGUCUGCCCGAGGAUGGGUCUGCGGCCUAUCAGGUAGAAGUGGGUGUAAUGUACCUACUAGCCAGCGACGGGUACGGGUUGUGAGAGCAAGAGCCCGGAGAUGGAUUCUGAGACAUGAAUCCAGGCCCUACGGGGCGCAGCAGGCGCGAAAACUUUACAAUGCGGGAAACCGUGAUAAGGGGACACCGAGUGCCAGCAUCAUAUGCUGGCUGUCCAGGUGUGUAAAAUACACCUGUUAGCAAGGGCCGGGCAAGACCGGUGCCAGCCGCCGCGGUAACACCGGCGGCCCGAGUGGUGAUCGUGAUUAUUGGGUCUAAAGGGUCCGUAGCCGGUUUGGUCAGUCCUCCGGGAAAUCUGAUAGCUUAACUAUUAGGCUUUCGGGGGAUACUGCCAGACUUGGAACCGGGAGAGGCAAGAGGUAC
rnacentral:rRNA from 1 species